GUAGUAACCUGCCAUCUUCUUUUUAAGGACUUUAUUCUCUUUAAUAAUAAAGAUUACUUUCCACUGCUUUAUCUCUAGCCUUCAUGCCAGAAUAUCUUCCCUGUUCUACUACAGAAGCUUUUGUUUCCAUCUGGGCUUACAUAGGGCUAAUACUACACUACCAUUCUAUGAUUGUAGAUAUGCAGUGAUGGACUUGCAGGCACUAACAGGUGCUAAUGGCAAGCUGUGGGAAUCGCACUCAAAGGGUUAAAACUGCCAGUACCUGCUUCUGUGAUGCAGAGCUGGGAGGUGGAGGCCUUGAGAGAUCAGCCUGAAAAGUAGCCGAGUGAGGAAGCCUUGUGGAGGCAAGAUGGUUCUGUUUUGGCUGCAAAUGCUGGGAUUGAGAGAAAAGCAGCUUCCAAACAGUUUCAGCAAGGCCACAGGUGCCCAGAGUGAGAGAACUGCAUGAGCCAUGCAAUGGAUACUCAGGUUAGCACCCCUGUGACACCCCUGACGAUGAAAAUGAGCAAAAAGAGGGAUGUGCUAAACCAGAAAUAACUGUUCCUCAACUCUCCACCCAAAUCAUGUCAAAUGUCACCCCAGGGAUGAACAGAGAAGUCAAAGUCCCUAGGGGAGAGGAGAGGUUUUUUGGCUUUUUAGCCUUUUUAGUGUUUUGAAUGCUUUUGCUCUGCUGCUUCAGAGAGAUGCAGCAGGACCAAAGAGACUGAAGACCCAGGUGAGGCAGGUGAUGGACUGUACUCUUCUUCCUCACCCAAGCCAGGGACACCUUGGUAAGAAUCAUGCUUUUUGUCUAGGUGACAAUCCCCAGGACAAGCAUUGCUGCCAUUUUGAUCAUAUAUUAGCACAACUGCAGUGUGUUUAUCAACAGCAGUGUCCAAUCUGUGAUAUCUGUCACCUUCCUAAUUUCUCAUAAAUUCUAAUGCUUGACUUUUGAAGCAGUUUUCAGUGAAAGUCCCCAGCAGCAGCUCCUGACAGACUAGUCAAGCUCAACCUUCACGUGACACAAGCCAUUGGCCACUGGCAGCCAACGUGCUGAGGCCAGAAGAGCGUGAAUGUGCAGAGAAACCUUAAAGCUAGCUACUGAGUAAGUGCCUGGGAGUGACUGCUCUGCUAAGAACACCUGGGCCAUAUGUGGCAGGCCUUUCCAGACUGCUUUCCAGGUGUUAAAUGACCUGCAACUAAUAGUUCUCCAUGUCCAGCCAUUCAUUCUGUCAUUGCCAAGUGUUGCACGCAGCAGGGUCGUGUUCUGAGCCAGAAACGUGAGCUGCACCGACGACAUUGGCCACUGGAUGGGGAACUUUGCUAAGCAGUCAUGUCAUAGGUUAGCUGCAAAUUUAGAUUGUUUCUUUUUGGUAGAUGAACAUUUGAAUAGAAAGACUCCUAUGUAGUGGAACUGCUAGUCAAACUGUUUUUCCUGAGUUUAACUUGCUUAUUGUGUGUCAUUCUGAGGCUAAGGAAGUUAAGAGGCAUCUUAAAUAUGAGAGUGUAGGGAUGAAAUGAAAAUCAAGUUUAUAGUGUCUUGAUAAUUCUGUCUCUGCACAGGCACAAGUCAGAAUGUCUUCCAAGUCAGAUUUGUUUAUGGGAAACCUCAUUGCUGGUCUAAAAAUUAUUAAAGAAGUACUUGUAAAUUUUACUCAAGUGACUUUCUACCACUGAGAUACUCUUGUAUGUGUGUGUGUGUGUGUGUGUGUAUAUAUAUACACCUCCAAAUGCUACUUAAAUCACAGACAGCAACACAAAUUUUCCUUGCAAAGUGAAGUGGAAUGCUGUUCUGUUCCUGGAGAAGGGUGGUGAGAAAGGUUCUGCUUGCAGUGAUCACAGGUACAGGCUAAAUCCUUUGGGGCCAUAGUUUGUCCCCAGUGCUGCAGGUGGCAGUCAUUGUCUGCACUGCAAGCCUGAGGCAAAAGGCCAGUCCUGACAACUGAAUGUGCAAAACAAUAAAGCUCUUGGGGGUGUGCACUCAUUGUUUCAGAAGAAUUGUAGGCAUUGAUUUGAGGGUUAUGCCAUUCUUCUCUUUUAAGUUGGCCACUUGUAAUCAUUUUUUGUAUAAACGCAAGAACAAGUGUUAGGUGAAGCAGCCUGGCCCUCCAGGAAAGGGUUUUAAACUAUUUUGAACUGAUCCCUUUCCAUCUUGAUCUUCUUGAAUAUUCUUUCUAAGUAAUUCUGGUUUGGCUCUUUGCAGAACUGGUUUAGGAUCCUCCACCUUGAAACAACCACAGAAUUAGAUGCUGCUGUAUUUAUCACUGUACCAACAACAACAAAGAACCACAGAAUCACUGGAGCAGGAGCUAAACAGAUGUGACACCAGUUAUUUUGUAUUUUCCUCUUGUUUUCUGAAAACAUCACAUGCUCUGAAUCAGUUGGAAUCCUAAACAACUUAAGGGCUCUUUUCAGAACCUAGAGUUAUCAAUGUUCUCCCUUCUGUAACUUGUAUUAAUGUCCAUUCAGUUUUGUUCUCUCUGAACUUGGGCACUGUGUGUUACCUAAGCAUUCAUAUUUUAGGCCAGAGUUCUUAUUGAGUAAUUGUUAACUUUCUUGUCUCCUAAGGUGGUGGGUUGAGGGGCUUUUUUUCCUCUUCCAAAAACUGAAAGCAAUUGUGAAAUGAGGCAGCUGAGUGCCUGGGUGGGAAGGGAGAAGCACUGAAAUGCAUUUACCUCCUGCAAAACUCUAAUGGUCUGAAAAGCAGUUGGCAAAGAUCAUGUUAAGCUAAGUUUGCACUGCCUGCAUUCUUUUCUUUCUUGGGGAGCUCUGACCACAUGCUCUCCAGUUGCACUGGUGUUGCCUGACUGUUUGCCCACCACCAGCUCGAGAGGACUGAGAUAAAGCCUUUUUUACUGUAAUUCUUCUGCUCUCUGCCAUAGGGUCAGCAGGAAUCAACAGGAAGGAGCAUCUCUCUUGCCUCUGGCACACUAUAGCUGAAGCCUCACUUGUCUCUUCACCAUUACUCCCAAAUCUACAGUUCCUUGUUCACACUAGCUUCAAAUGGAGCUGAAUCCUUGCUCAUCAGCAGCAAGUAAGCAGCUCAUGGCCCCAGCAGAUAUUUCUGCAUGUUAGGCUAAUGAGAACUUCUGGGAUUACUGCAGCCUUCCCUGCCUUGGAGCAGACAUCCCUCUGUCAGAGAUCUGGAAACUCAUACUGAAUGUGAUAAACAAAACUACUGGCUGGACUGUGAUUUUCAGGACAUGAGAAGAGCUCCACAGCAACAGAAGAUGGAACAGCUCUGAAAGGCACCACUGACCCACACUGAUUAAGAGCAUUUCCAGUGCUUACAUUCCUGUUCAACUCUCAGGAAUGAUUUUCAGUUGUUUCUUCCAGUGCAUUUGUGUGUGGUCUGUAAAGCAAGCACGGGGAUGGAGGAUAAGUUUUGCAGAAUAGUCUCAAAAUGAUGAGUUUCUUUUAAAGUAUUCCUGUGAUAAUG